rnacentral:rRNA from 1 species
UCGUUGUAGCAAUACGAUGGAAAGUCUAGUGGCGAACGGGUGCUUAACACGUGGGCAACCUGCCAAGAAGUGGGGGACAGCUCGCCGAAAGGCGGAUUAAUACCGCAUGUGAUUAGAGAGGACAUCCUUUCGAAAUUAAAGUCGGGGCAACCUGACGCUUCUUGUGGGGCCCGCGGCCUAUCAGCUAGUUGGUGGGGUAACGGCCCACCAAGGCUUUGACGGGUAGCUGGUCUGAGAGGACGACCAGCCACACUGGGACUGAGACACGGCCCAGACACCUACGGGUGGCAGCAGUCGAGAAUUUUUGACAAUGGGGGAAACCCUGAUCGAGCGACGCCGCGUGGAGGAUGAAGGUCUUCGGAUUGUAAACUCCUGUCAUUGGGGAACAAUGCGUGACGGUUAACUGCCGUUGCGUUGAUAGUACUCGAAGAGGAAGAGACGGCUAACUCUGUGCCAGCAGCCGCGGUAAUACAGAGGUCUCAAGCGUUGUUCGGAUUCAUUGGGCGUAAAGGGUGCGUAGGCGGCGCGGUAAGUCGGGUGUGAAAUCUCGGGGCUUAACUCCGAAACUGCAUUCGAUACUGCCGUGCUUGAGGACUGGAGAGGAGACUGGAAUUCACGGUGUAGCA